GUUUACGAGGCAAACAAGGUGUACGGGCCGUGAAGUCUCGGCUGCCUGACUCGGGAAACUACGGGAAACUCUAUAGUCCAGCCCAUGUGAGGUAGAGAAAGACUGUCAAGCCCCACGGUAUGGUUAAUCAGGGUGCCGAUGGCUCCGCCUGAAAAGUGUCUCAACGAGAUCGCGGCGCGGAGACUGCGGAAGGCUGCUGCUGACCGUGAGCGUAGGGCAAGGAUGUCUCCUGCUGAGCGUGAACGUCUCGCCGCAGCCAAGCGGGCACGUUAUGCUGAGACGAUGACGGCAGAGCACCGAGCUCGUCGCACCGCUGCUGCACGCGAGCGGUACUUGGCUCUUGCUGCGUCAGAUGAAUACCGCGCCCGUCGCAACUUGGCGCAGCGUGAGCGGUACGCCGCGAGAGCCACCGUGCAAAACCGGGAGAUUCGAGCAGCGGGUGGACGUGAUCUCCGCAAGCGUCGUCCUAGGCUGAAACAAGUGGACGUGUCCUAACUUCUCUGUGUUGAUUCUCCCUUACCAGCAUUGCUAGGCAUAAGAGAAGACGCACAUGAAGACUGUGAAAGGAUAAGGCCGGCAGCAGUGGCUGAAGUGCAAUUUUCACAACAGUUGAGUGUACCCUGCGCAAACACACUGGUCAUGGCCACAGGUGACAUUGCUGCCUACCGAAAAAGGAUUGUGUGCAGAUGCAACAGCAGUGCGGCCACAGGGCGUCAUGCCACAAUGUCUCGUGCCAUAACCUGUUCAAUCCGUCAAUUUGUGCGUAGUGUGUCGGCAUGGAAGAACACGUCAACAUGGAUGCUGCACAAGGAAACACAGACCCGACCCGCCUUGGUAACAAGGAAAACACAGACGCUGUGACAUCGGCGUCUUGUGUGGGCAAGGCAAACCUGUACAUUCCAUGUGCAUCAGUUGUGAAGUGCUGCUGUGCUGUUGCUCCUGAUGCAUUCAUAUUUACAGUUGCCAACAUUGUGUCCUUGUGACAUGUGUGUAGUGCUGCCAGUAGCGGCCACCUGCAGGGUUCGCAUAGGAAGAUGACAAUUGGCCAGCCGUGAUCUAACAAUUGGUCCUUGUGUGCGUCUGGGUGCUCCACAUGCCAGUUGCCACUGGGCAUCACUGUCAUCUACAAUAGGCAGCUCACACCUGCCAGCUCCCUGCACUUACAUUGCUGCAUCAUGGACCGUCACUGGCUUUAACUAGGUGCAUAGUGCCACAGCUCCAGACUUUACGUACUGGGAUUAUAACUGCCAAACAUGGUGUCAUCUUUGUAAGUCUACCGUGUUGAGUUAUACCAAAUUAAUUCUUUUAUGUUUGCAAUGUUGCAUGGUUGUUUUUUAUCUCCGCGAUGCAUGGAUUGUUAAUGUUCUGAUGUCCAGAAAAUACAAAUAAUAUGUUAUAUUGCUGUGAUUUGUGCUACUCCAAAUGAAUUUUGAUGUGUAAAAAAUAACUCUGAGCUAGGUACUGUGGUGUAUCGCCCUCUAAACAGCAACCUAACAUUGUUUAUGAAUUGUCUUGAAGCAUUUUUGCGCUCGCUCAAAUAACUUUAAUUUGGGCUAUUGACUUCAACAUUAAUGUUCUUGAUGAUGCACCUAUUGUAUGUGACCUUACUAUGUGGCUACUUUCAUCAGGCUUUGUUACUAUGAUCAAAACACGUACUCGAGUAACUUCGUCCACUUCGUCUGCUAUAGAUUUGCUAAUUACAAACUGGGAAACUACAAUUCGUGACUCUGGUACAUUAUCAAUUAUGGACCAUUGUCCAAUUUUGUGUUUAACGAUGCUCCAGGGAAAACUGGAACAUGUCAGUGUGACUCAGUUACUGUUCAGUGUAUGUCCCAUGACAUGUUUAGAGGUUUUCAAAUCUAAUAUCUCUUCACAAGAUUGGUCUU
rnacentral:misc_RNA from 1 species